rnacentral:rRNA from 1 species
GAUGAACGCUGGCGGCGUGCUUAACACAUGCAAGUCGAACGAUGAAGCCCAGCUUGCUGGGUGGUUUAGUGGCGAACGGGUGAGUAACACGUGAGUAAACUGCCCUUUACUCUGGGAUAAGCCUGGGCAACUGGGUCUAAUACCGGAUAGGAGCGCCUACCGCAUGGUGGGUGCUGGAAAGAUUCAUCGGUUUUGGACGGACUCGCGGCCUAUCCGCUUGUUGGUGAGGGAAUGGCUAAGCAAGGCGACGACGGGUAGCCGGCCUGGGAGGGUGACCGGCCACACGGGGCCUGAGAGACGGCCCAGUCGCCUACGGGGGGCAGCAGUGGGGAAUAUUACACAGUGGGCGCGAGUCUGAGGCAGCGACGCCGCGUGAGGGAUGACGGCCUUCGGGUUGUGAACCUCUUUCAGUAGAGAAGAAGCGAAAGUGACGGUACCUGCAGAAGAAGCACCGGCUAACUACGUG